rnacentral:rRNA from 1 species
GGGAAAAGCCCAAACCAGCAAGCUUGCUUGUUGGGGUUGUAGGACUCCAAUAUGGUAGUUCUUUCAGAUAGUCGAAUGACUUGGAAAAGUCAGUCAAAGAGGGUAAAAACCCCGUAGACGAAAUGUGGAAGACACCUAGGAGGAUCCUGAGUACGGCGGAACACGAGAAAUUCCGUCGGAAUCCGGGAGGACCAUCUCCCAAGGCUAAAUACUCCCUAGUGACCGAUAGUGAACCAGUACCGUGAGGGAAAGGUGAAAAGCACCCCGGAAGGGGAGUGAAAUAGAACCUGAAACCGUGUGCCUACAACAAGUCAAAGCCCGUUAAUGGGUGAUGGCGUGCCUUUUGUAGAAUGAACCGGCGAGUUACGAUUGCAUGCGAGGUUAAGUUGAAGAGACGGAGCCGCAGCGAAAGCGAGUCUGAAUAGGGCGUUUGAGUAUGUAGUCGUAGACCCGAAACCAUGUGAUCUACCCAUGUCCAGGUUGAAGGUGCGGUAAAACGCACUGGAGGACCGAACCCACGUACGUUGAAAAGUGCGGGGAUGAGGUGUGGGUAGCGGAGAAAUUCCAAACGAACUUGGAGAUAGCUGGUUCUCUCCGAAAUAGCUUUAGGGCUAGCCUCGGAAUUGAGAAUGAUGGAGGUAGAGCACUGUUUGGACUAGGGGCCCAUCUCGGGUUACCGAAUUCAGAUAAACUCCGAAUGCCAUUCAUUCAUAUCCGGGAGUCAGACUGUGAGUGAUAAGAUCCAUAGUCGAAAGGGAAACAGCCCAGACCACCAGCUAAGGUCCCAAAAUAUAUGUUAAGUGGAAAAGGAUGUGGGGUUGCACAGACAACUAGGAUGUUGGCUUAGAAGCAGCCAUCAUUUAAAGAGUGCGUAAUAGCUCACUAGUCGAGUGACCCUGCGCCGAAAAUGUACCGGGGCUAAACAUAUUACCGAAGCUGUGGAGUACACCUUUAGGUGUAUUGGUAGGAGAGCGUUCUAAGGGCGUUGAAGGCAGAUCGUGAGGACUGCUGGAGCGCUUAGAAGUGAGAAUGCCGGUAUGAGUAGCGAAAGACAGGUGAGAAUCCUGUCCACCGAAUGACUAAGGUUUCCUGGGGAAGGCUCGUCCGCCCAGGGUUAGUCGGGACCUAAGCCGAGGCCGACAGGCGUAGGCGAUGGAUAACAGGUUGAUAUUCCUGUACCCGUUGUUUUUGUUUGAGCAAUGGAGGGACGCAGGAGGCUAAGGAAUGCAGACGAUCGGAAAUGUCUGUCCAAGCAGUAAGUCUGAAGAGGAGUCAAAUGCUUCUUUUCUUAAGGACAAGCUGUGAUGGGGAGGGAAAUAAUAGUACCGAAGUUCCUGAUGUCACACUGCCGAGAAAAGCUUCUAGUGAGAAAACAGCGGCCCGUACCGCAAACCGACACAGGUAGUCGAGGAGAGAAUCCUAAGGUGAGCGAGAGAACUCUCGUUAAGGAACUCGGCAAAAUGACCCCGUAACUUCGGGAGAAGGGGUGCUGAUCAUACGAUCAGCCGCAGUGAAUAGGCCCAAGCGACUGUUUAUCAAAAACACAGGUCUCUGCAAAAUCGUAAGAUGAAGUAUAGGGGCUGACGCCUGCCCGGUGCUGGAAGGUUAAGAGGAGUGCUUAGCGCAAGCGAAGGUACGAAUUGAAGCCCCAGUAAACGGCGGCCGUAACUAUAACGGUCCUAAGGUAGCGAAAUUCCUUGUCGGGUAAGUUCCGACCCGCACGAAAGGCGUAACGAUUUGGGCACUGUCUCAACGAGAGACUCGGUGAAAUUUUAGUACCUGUGAAGAUGCAGGUUACCCGCGACAGGACGGAAAGACCCCAUGGAGCUUUACUGUAGUUUGAUAUUGAGUGUCUGUACCACAUGUACAGGAUAGGUAGGAGCCGUAGAAAUCGGAACGCUAGUUUCGAUGGAGGCGCUGGUGGGAUACUACCCCUGCGUUAUGGCCACUCUAACCCGCACCACUAAUCGUGGUGGGAGACAGUGUCAGAUGGGCAGUUUGACUGGGGCGGUCGCCUCCUAAAAGGUAACGGAGGCGCCCAAAGGUUCCCUCAGAAUGGUUGGAAAUCAUUCGAAGAGUGUAAAGGCAGAAGGGAGCUUGACUGCGAGACCAACAAGUCGAGCAGGGACGAAAGUCGGGCUUAGUGAUCCGGUGGUUCCGCAUGGAAGGGCCAUCGCUCAACGGAUAAAAGCUACCCUGGGGAUAACAGGCUUAUCUCCCCCAAGAGUCCACAUCGACGGGGAGGUUUGGCACCUCGAUGUCGGCUCGUCGCAUCCUGGGGCUGUAGUCGGUCCCAAGGGUUGGGCUGUUCGCCCAUUAAAGCGGCACGCGAGCUGGGUUCAGAACGUCGUGAGACAGUUCGGUCCCUAUCCGUCGCGGGCGUUGGAAAUUUGAGAGGAGCUGUCCUUAGUACGAGAGGACCGGGAUGGACUUACCGCUGGUGUACCAGUUGUUCUGCCAAGGGCAUUGCUGGGUAGCUAUGUAGGGAAGGGAUAAACGCUGAAAGCAUCUAAGUGUGAAGCCCACCUCAAGAUGAGAUUUCCCAUUUCUUUAAGAAAGUAAGAUCCCUGAGAGAUGAUCAGGUAGAUAGGUCAGGAGUGGAAGUACAGUGAUGUAUGGAGCGGACUGAUACUAAUCGAUCGAGGACUUAACCAA